UUUUUCAUUAACUGUUCCCACCUGGUGGAAUGCCUUGACCAACUCUAUUCGAGCAGAAUCCUUAGCCAUCUUCAAGAAACGGCUAAAAACACAUCUCUUCCAUCUUUAUUUAACCCUCUAACUCUAACACUAAGGCUGCAUCCGAAAUCGCAUACUUCCCUAAUAUAUAGUAUGCGAAAAACAGUAUGCGAGGCGAGUAGUAUGUCCGAAUUCAUAGUAUUCGAAAAACGGUAGGCAAGAAGUACCCGGAUGACCUACUGCUUCCGCCCGAAUUCUGUAGUAGGCAUACGAUGGACACUUUACUAUACCAUGAGGCCGCGGGAGAGGCAGCGUCAUAUUCGAAAAAUGGCGGAAAGCCGCGAUGCGGCUGUCUUCAAGUGUAAGGGAAAAACGUUGUUGAUGUUCAUUGUGGUUAACUUGUACUUGUUUAACAUCAUCCAAAUAAACGACUGACUUGUUGAGGGUUUAACAAACAGAUGAAACGAUUUUGUGAAUUGGGUGUAAACAGAUCUCUAAUCAUUACUGAUCAGAUGGAGUUACGUUAACCUCAUUGUAGUACAUCAGCUUGUUAACGCUGCUUUCUUUAAAUAGACGGUUCGUUAAGCGGUAAGAAUUUAAAUCAUUAACGAUAUUCGCGCAGUGAAGUGGGCUCUUUACAUUUUCGCGCUGUUGUGAAGACGCAUCCCACAUAGCAAGCACACUCGGGCCGAUUCUGGCUGAAAUGCGGCACUGUCGGCUCAGUCACGACGUCGGUGAGAAGAUAAUGGGCCAGAGCCGCGCCGACUCUACAAAACACUUCUGGUUGACAGACGGCUUUUUCUCUCUGGGCCGAUCUCGGCUGAAAGCUGUUGUACGCGCGGCAGGUCCACACUCGGUGUAGUUGUGUGUCUCUACCUUCGGCCCGAGCUGGUUUUGUCUCCGGCCGCUGCUAGAAUGAAGAUCCGCCUGAGAGAGAUUUGGCGGUUAAUCCUGAGGAGAUUUCGGCGGGCACAGGUCUCAAGAGGAAUACUUCAGCUGCAAAAAGGUAAAUUAAGUUAUUUAAUGAUCGAUCUAGUGUUGUUUGAUGUUUAAAUGCCAGGAGGAGUAUAGUUUUUAGAUGGUUUCUGUUAGGUUUGCGAUGAUAAUAGCGUCAGAAAAAUCAUUCGGUCCGGAUAUAUUGAGUAACGUUAGGCCUAACUGUCAGGCGCGGUCUCUUUAGGAAAACAAUAUGUAAUUUUUUUAAUAUGAAAAACCGAUGAGCUGUAUCCAGUGCACGAUAAUGUAAGGUAAUUCAAUUUUAAUGAGUUAAAUUCCAUUUUGUUUGCUAGAAUUCAUUCGAUUCAUCUUUUUCAACGAGUGAUUGCUAUUGAAUCAAAGGAGUCGGACCGCGCUGCUGGAGCCAUAAACAUCUAUACGAGUGACUCUGUCUGAUUCGAUUCACUGAACCAUUCAAAUGAGUCAUUUGUUUAAAUUCUGAGCUGCUGCAUGAACAUUCAUCAAACAUAUAAGGCUGCAAUUUGGAAAAAAACUUUCAAGCUAAUGCUGCUGAAAUGGAGGUCAAGGGGACUAUGAAGAGGUGGCUUCCAGCUGAUCAAAAGUUACAAUAAUCAGCUGAUCCAGUCGGUAUCCAGACCAGACGGUGGACCUGCACCAGGAGUGACCACAACACAUCCCUGACUGUCAGCGGAGACCAUGUCAGCUAGAUGACAGAUCCUGUGAAGACCUCACUGAUGGCCUCAGCACAGAUCCUCAGCAAAGACUACGAGAACCAGACAAGCCCUCUGCACAGACCCUUUUACCAGCUUCACCUGCUGGCGUGAUGUUUCCUCAUGCAGAAGAAGUUGGACGAAAUAUUCUGAAUGAUAUCAAUCCACAAUCUGACUUGUGAUGCAGCCUGGAAUAAUCACACCACGUUCAUUCGUUUGGCCAGACGAGACUGUUUCCUGACUGAGCCGGGUCUUGUUUGGGUUUGGGUUCCUUGUCACUGUUGCCUUUUGUCUUGCUUGGUUGAAGACACCUAAUAUUCAGCAAUAUUAUUGACUUGACUGCACUGACACCAUUUGAUAAGAACUGAACUGAAUUAUGACACACAAUGUUUUAUAUAUGAAGUUUAUUUGCAAAAACGGAUAACGGAUAAAAUUUUGUUUUUUGUUAUCAUGUUUUUGUUUUAUUGUGUUAGUUAGCUAGUAUUUAUUAGUUAUUCUUUACCUAAUCAAAAUAACCUGCAUGCAGUUUGAUUGAGAUUAAUUGGAAUGCACAAUGAAAAAACAUGAUUUUUUAAAAUUGUUAAAAACGAAGUUAUCUGUUUCUGCAAAUGAACUCUUCAUUUUUAUAUAUAUAUAUAUAUAUAUAUAUGCAGUAAAUAUAAUUUACUUGUUACUUUGUGGUUUAAAAAGUGUGAAUGUUUAUACUGUAGUGCAUUUGUUCAUGUAUAUUUAAAGUAUUUGGUAAUUUUAUAAUUAAAGCCUUUUUAAUGUUUUUAAAUGGUUGUAUUUGUGUUUUACUGCUGAAUUACAUUUAGCAGUUUCUGGGCCACAUUCGGCCCGGGG